GAUCCUGGCUCAGAUUGAACGCUGGCGGCAGGCCUAACACAUGCAAGUCGAACGGUAACAGGAAGCAGCUUGCUGCUUUGCUGACGAGUGGCGGACGGGUGAGUAAUGUCUGGGAAACUGCCUGAUGGAGGGGGGAUAACUACUGGAAACGGUAGCUAAUACCGCAUAACGUCGCAAGACCAAAGAGGGGGACUUUCGGGCCUCUUGCCAUCGGAUGUGCCCAGAUGGGAUUAGCUAGUAGGG
rnacentral:rRNA from 1 species